GACGAACGCUGGCGGCGUGCUUAACACAUGCAAGUCGAACGGAAAGGCCCUGCUUUUGUGGGGCGCUCGAGUGGCGAACGGGUGAGUAACACGUGAGUAACCUGCCCUUGACUUUGGGAUAACUUCAGGAAACUGGGGCUAAUACCGGAUAGGAGCUCCUGCUGCAUGGUGUGGGUUGGAAAGUUUCGGCGGUGGGGGAUGGACUCGCGGCUUAUCAGCUUGUUGGUGGGGUAGUGGCUUACCAAGGCUUUGACGGGUAGCCGGCCUGAGAGGGUGACCGGCCACAUUGGGACUGCGAUACGGCCCAGACUCCUACGGGAGGCAGCAGUGGGGAAUAUUGCACAAUGGGCGGAAGCCUGAUGCAGCAACGCCGCGUGCGGGAUGACGGCCUUCGGGUUGUAAACCGCUUUCGCCUGUGACGAAGCGUGAGUGACGGUAAUGGGUAAAGAAGCACCGGCUAACUACGUG
rnacentral:rRNA from 1 species